UUGUCGUUCUCAACGACACACUGGAAUGAAUUGCAACAAAAAACUUGCGAAUUAAGCAAAAUUGCUACGAUAUCACGAUCGACGGCCAUUUCGUACAAUUGUUGUGUUGAACCCACUGACGCAAUACAUCGAACGAAUGUGUAGGAAGUCGAAUCACGCAAUCUAUGCCCAAUAUGGACGUGCGUAGAUCAACCUGGAUCAACCGACACGUUUCCUCGAGGAGGAACAAGAGUAACACCACUGAUGAUUGAAAGCACGAUGACGACGACACGGGUUUGAGUGGCGCUCGCCCGCGUCGCCGUCUCGUCGAUCCUCUCCCCGCAUCUCCAAAAACACGAGUAGGACAACGCCACGGUGAAAUACACUAAAAAUACGUAGAAUCGUUGGCACGCAACACCUCUCUGCAGACUUUAAAAUGUUACCCGCGUACCUUAGGGGCAGUUUCUUCCGGUAUAACGCAUCAAGCGCAUCAUACAAGAUUUCUUUAACGUUUCGGACAUUUUUUCCCAAUAAAUAACGUUCAAAUAAAAUAUAGAACCAAAGACAUAUAAAUUCUGUAACGUUUCGAUUAAAGUUCGAAAGCGUCAUCCAUCAUUCCAUAAUCGCGGUAAGUUCAUUUUAGGAUAACGAUCGAUCGAAUAAAUUGGUAACGUUAAUCGAGACGAAGUUAUAAAUAAAUCUGAUGUACAUUCACCGUAAACGAGUACGAUUUAUUCAUAACUUGUUUUAUAGCGAUCUGUAUAUCCUAUAAAAAGGAGUAAGUUUCGUUAAUUUUUAAUUAAAUCCUACAUAUGUGCAAUCCUAUGUAUGCGCCUAUACGGUUCAUGAUAACGCCAAGUACCCUGCGCUUUUACAAUUAAUCGUACAUUAUUCGUGUUUUCAAUGCUCUCCAACUAAAUUUCAUAAGUAAUUUCUUCUCAUUUUACAUUUGAUAAAUUUCUCACCGAUGAGCAAAUAAAAAUUAAUUCAUCGAUGCUGCACUUACGAAAUUUCAUGCUAGGCAGAAACAAUGAUACAAAUACUUAUUUACAAUUGUUAAUACAUCGUUGUAGGAGUAAGAUAAUAAAAUAUGUGAACGAAACCUAUGUCAACUUAAUAAAUUGUAUGAAUACAUCGAGUUCUGUGAUGAUUUUGACAGGCUGAGUGAUUCAAUGUUGAGGUUAGUUCACGUAUUUUGUGAUUAAUUUCAAACU